UACGGAGGAUGCGAGCGUUAUCCGGAUUUAUUGGGUUUAAAGGGUGCGUAGGCGGACUGUCAAGUCAGCGGUAAAAUACGGGGGCUCAACCUCCGCCCGCCGUUGAAACUGACGGUCUUGAGUGGGCGAGAAGUAUGCGGAAUGCGUGGUGUAGCGGUGGAAUGCGCAGAUAUCGGGAAGAACACCGGUGGCGAAGGCGGCCUUCUGGGCCAUCACUGACGCUGAGGCGCGAAAGCUAGGGGAGCAAACAGG
rnacentral:rRNA from 1 species